CCAGUGUCCCCAAGCAUGGCCUCUCAAGAUACUGGUGUUCCCACGGAGAGUAAAACCAAAAAAAAGAAAACUGGUACCCCAGCCAGCCUCUGCCACAAGGGCAGGGUCCGAAGGAAAGAAAAAAGAAAGACAGAGGAAGACCCAGCCAGGCCCAGAGGGAAGGAAAAGGUUUGUGCAGACAAGAAACUGCCUGCUAGUAGCCCCAGGGGCAAGGCCCAGGGGCCUAAAGGAACCAAGAAAAAGUCAUCCUCUGUGACCACAGUGGCCAGCCCAGGGAAAGGGGGGAUGGGCUGCACUUCCAACACAGGGCCCCAAGGCUCUAGGCAUGGUCCUGGUGCACCACUGACCUGGAAAGUUGGCAGUACAAGGAAGAUGCCUUCGGGCAAGUUGGUGGAACAGAAGGCCCGCUCCCUGAAUGAAGGAGCCCCCCAGGACACCCCUAAGCUCAAAAAACGGAACCUGAGACACACAGAGCUAUUUGGGGCUGAAAGCAAGGAGGAGGACUCAGGACUGGGAGCGGGAGCACCCCAGGUCUGGCCCCGACCCUGCCCAGCAUGAGCUCAGAUCAAAAUCAGACUCCAACUCCAGCCUGGGGCUGGAAGAGAUGAAGUUUCCCAAUUGUCUCAAGGCCUCGCCACCUGUGACCCCUGCAAUGCCCUCCCCAUUGUCCUCUUCAUUCUCCUCCUCGCUGUCCUCAGGAGACAGCCAGUGUGCAGAGGAGGAUGUGGAUUACUCGGCUCUGGAGAAGGAGGUGGACUUCCAUGUGGACCCUAUGGAGGAGUGCCUGCGGAUCUUCACCGAGUCCAACAGGGUGAAGAUGUAGGACAAGGACUGGCUGACCCAGCAGCCACCCAAGGAGAAGGCUGAGGAAAAGAUGCUUGCGGGACUAACCACUUCAUUCCCAGGGCAGAAGAGGGAGGUCUCACACCUUUGCAAGCCAGGCAAGGGGGCAGAGGCCCCAAAGAAGACCCCCGUGGCUCCUGCAGCACAGUCCGUAACUGCUCAGGAGGUGUGGUACCUGCGAGCACAGCAAGCACUAAGGGAGUUGGCCAGUUGGCUACAGGCCACCCCAGGGUCAACUGAGGGGCUUUCCAAGAGGGUUCUCCCUGCCAGCAGCAGCCAGGUUUCCCACAGUCCCAAACCUGGCAGUCAGCCACUGAAGACACCCACGCUGUCAAGGAUGGCAUCUAAGAUAACAACCAACUUCACCCCCAAAUGCAUCGUCCACAGCCCAUCACUCCAGAGUCUAAAGAAGCCCGUUAUCCCGAAAGAAUUUGGCGGCACGGUCCCCAUUGUGGUCCCCCAAGGUUAUCUCCACCUGUUCAUUGAGGAGUUUCUCAAGUUCUGUUCGUCCAAACAGGAGGCCAUUGAGAAGGCCCUGAACGGGGAAAAGGUGGCAUAUGACCUCAGUUCCAGCAAGAACAUAUACCUGAAUGUGGCCGUGAACAUCCUUAAGAAGCUAAGGGGGCUGGCCCCCAACACCAUGCUCAACCUCAGCAAAGCCAGUGGCCGCAGGGUUGUGUCCCAUGAGGUUGUACUGGGGGGCAAAUUGGCAGCUAAAACCAGCUUCUCACUGAACAGCCCCAGCAGCCAGCAGGUAGAGGAGCUGAGAGCACUGAUACCCAGUGCCUCUGCAGGGUAUGCCCUGUACUGCCACCUUAGGGAGUACUUACUCACUCAGGAGCAGCUGAAGGAGAAUGGCUACCCCUUCCCCCACCCAGAGCGUCCAGGGGCUGCAGUCAUCUUCACUGCCAAGGAGAAGAAGCCCAAGGACCCCUCCCGCAGAAUUUGCCAUCGCUGUGGCAUUGAAUUCCCUGUGUCCUCUGCGGGCCUCUGUGUGAGCAGUGCAGAGUGUUACUACCACUGGGGGAGGCUGCAGCUGAAUCGAGUGGCAGGGGGCUGGGAGUCCCAGUAUGUGUGCUGCUCAGCUUUGGUUGGCUCUGUAGGCUGUCAGGUCGCCAAGCAACAUGUGCUCGAUGGCCGGACAGAGAACCUGGAGGGUUUUGUGCGCACUUUCCAGAAGGAGUUGCCCAAAGAUGCCCAUGCGGGGGUCUUUGCUCUCGACUGUGAGAUGUCCUACACUACAUAUGGCCUGGAGGUGACCCGAGUCACAGUCGUGGACACAGACCUACAAGUCAAGUAUGAUACCUUUGUCAAGCCUGACAAUGAAGUUGUCGACUACAAUACCAGGUUCUCGGGGGUGACAGAGGCCGACCUUGUGGACACAAGCAUCACUCUGCGGGACGUACAGGCUGUCUUGCUGAGCAUGUUCAGUGCAGACACCAUCCUCAUUGGACACAGCCUGGAGAGCGACCUACUGGCUCUCAAAGUCAUCCACUGCACUGUGGUAGACACAGCUGUGCUGUUCCCACAUCACCGGGGCCUGCCCUAUAAGCGCUCCCUGCAGAACCUCAUGGCUGACUACCUCAGACAAAUCAUCCAAGACAAUGUGAAUGGGCACAGCUCCAGUGAGGAUGCCAGUGCCUGUAUGCAGCUUGUCAUCUGGAAGAUCCGAGAAGACGCCAAGACCAAGCCAAGACUCCCACCCAACACUACCAUACCAUCCCCCUUCUUCCAACCCUUGCUGCCCUUAGCCGGAAUCCCUUAGCCCAGAUGCACUUGGCCUCUUUUCAAUUUGUUCAAUAAAAAGUGAUAGCUGACCACAUGCCUCCAGAGCUUUUGCUUCAGGUCUGCAGUGAGGGCCCAAAGGUGGGACUAAGAACAACCCUCAGUUGAACUCCACACCCAUCCAACAUGUCACCUACUCCUCCCCCAGUCCUGUCCCAUGGAGCCUGCUGCAGCCCAGGGCAGAGUUGGCCUAGCCUCUGUGUCCCAUUUAGGCACCCCUACUCCUACCCCAGACCACCGCUCCAGACAGUGGGCUCUGCCUUCUGUUCCUUUGUAUAUAAGGCAGACAACAGGACAAGCCCUCAUGGUUUGACACAGGGGUUGUCUCUUUAUUUUACACUAUUAUUUUUAUUAAUUUUUAAUUUAAACCUGCUAGCCUGCACACAUCCUCCUCAUUUGAGGGGUCCAAUUCUGGGGCUGCUUGGAUCCAGGGGCCGGACCCCUCAUAGUCAGUCCCAUGGGCCUGCAUUUUGCCCUGCCUUGUGGGAUAACUUCCAGAACUCACCCCAGCCCGUCAGGUCUCUCCAACCUCAGAGCCAAGCCAGCCUUUUGGCCUGGACUUCCAGGGACUCUGGGUUGUCAUCCUGCAGGCUACUGCCUCCCUCUGUGAGUAGGAACAGAAGUAAAUAAAUGUUUGUAUGAACUUUAGAUUUCAUAGUGUGUGGUUCUUUGGGGACAGACAGGAUCUGAUGCCUGCCUAUGUGGCCCCUGUCCCAGUGGCCAGGGUCAAGAAAAAUGCAAAUGAUUCCCUUGCCAAAAGCAACUCUCACCCUGUGGGUGGGCCCAUGCUACCCAGAUGUGGGAAAUUUGUGAGGCAGCCCCAAGCUCUGGGUAGGCUGUGCCUGCCAGCCCUCCCCUAAAGGCACCUUGCUGUUGUCCCUGGUGCAGGCUGAUGGCAUGCCUACACUCCUUUUUGCCUGUUAUGAUCUGUUACUCAGACAAGUUCCAGGGUGGAGACUGGGAGCCCUUGCUGCCAGGUGUCCUGAGAAAGGGCCUGACCAUCAAGGCCACUCUGUCCCCAUGUCAGGAAACAAGUUUUGUAGCACUCAUUAGAUAGGUGACCUUGGCUUUAUUGGCAGCCUCUAGUCAUUUAUCUGUGGGCAGAGUAGGCUGGCUGGAGUUAGACCCUUGCAGGAUAGCUGGGUUGUGAUGGUCAGGGUCCUGUGAGAACCCAGUCCAAAUGUUCCCUCAAGCCACUUGGAGGGGCUGCAAGUCUAUGGCCAGAGCAGAUUCCAUGGGCUAUCCACAUAGUGGGGAUGCAGGGGCUAUCCACAUUGUGGGCAUGCAGGGGCUAUCCACAUAGUGGGAAUGAAGGGGCUAUCCACAUAGUGGGAAUGCAGGGGCUAUCCGCAUAGUGCGUAUGCAGGUGCUAUCCACAUAGUGGGAAUGCAGGGGCUAUCCACAUAGUGGGCAUGCAGGGGCUAUCCACAUAGUGGGUAUGCAGGGAGCUGCAAGGGCUAAGGGAGCUUCCUUGGAUAAGCCAGACAAGUACCCACAGGAGAUUUCCUUGAGUACUUUGUCCCCUCUUCUACCAUCUGUAAACAAGUUUUUAAAAACAUAGAUGAAUGGUACCAAU